AUUAAAAGUAGUUAACGAUCUACAUAGUAUUUUUCAUUACCUAAUAAAAUCUAAAAUAUUUUAUAAAAUAUUAUAAAGUAAUGAAUUAACAUUACAUUUCCUUUGGCUCUUCCAUGAUCUUAGAUGAGCAUUUUUACCAUUGCAGUGCAUUGUGGGAUUGUGUGAUGCUGUAUUAUAUGAUUCUAUGGGAUGUUUAUUCAGUUUCAGUGAUUAAUUAUCUGUAAUUUGUAAAAAUGAGUCCAAAUAAUGUGUCGUAUAAAGUAGUUUAAUACUAUUGCCUUGAUUGUAUAUGGUGACUAUACACUUAUUAUGCCUUAAGAUGUCUGUAAUUGAUGUCUGUGUCGCUUUCUCUAUUCUCCAGGUUGAGUUCUCAGUCGAGGCGCCUUGUUUUGAGAACGAAUAUGAGUAUGAGGAGGAUGAAAAAAAGGACAGUCUGUCGCAAAUCUGCACUAAUGAGCGUCAAACACCUGGAGCCAAAAGCAGCAGCCCAUCCUUCACACACCGGGAUCUUCCUGGAAAAUCACACAGCCUGCCGUAUAAGUCCCGCCCCUUCCUGCCACCACUGUCAUUAUCUUCAGACGACGAGUAUAGCCCCGCUGAUGAUGAUGAGUCUGAUAAAGGUUCUGAAUAUGAGGAGAUGUUUUGUCAGAGUCUACCAGCCAGUCGGGGUUUUCAGGGACUGUCUUGGUCGAGUCCACAAACCACCGCUGACAUAUCUACAAGCAAUGAUGUAGAUCUACACACUAGUAACCAAUCAAACGCACUUCCUUCAGAGAUCAAUGAUGAUGUGCAAUCCAUCGGCCAAUCAGAAGAGGCGAUUCCUGCUGAUUCUGCAGUGACAGACAGCAGUGAACCUGCUUUUGACCCAUCGCUUUGUGAAGAACAUCUGAGUUCAGCUGUAUUAAAGACACAUGAAGUGUGUAUGGAUGAAAAGAAGAACGACGAGAGAGAGUCAACGGAUGUGGAGAAUGAUAAACACACACUGAUAGGAGAAGAUGAUCCAGAGAGUGAACCCAGUGAAGAAGACACUUAUUUUGGACCGGACUCGAUUCCUUCUUCACCAGAACCCGACCAAACUGAGACCGACAGCAUCAGUGUUCCUGAGCCCAUCCCAGCACUGUCUCCAGCCGAAGAUGCUCAGCAGGUGCUGGAUGCUGCGGGUUACCAUGGUAACAGUGAGGUACCAAUCACCGAUGAGCUCACGGAUGCAGACUGCGUUUCGCCGGCUCCUCAAGACCAACCAGAGGAACAAUCACAGAUUAUCAAUGAAACAAAGACUGAAGAGGAUGAGAAGAGAGAGGAAACAGAAGUUCUAGUGGAGUUGGAAAAAUGCAGGGAAAAUCAAGAAGAAGAGUGUGAGAACAACAACAAGACAGAUACAGAUGAAGGAAAGUGUGAAGAUGUUGCAGAAGAUGCAAAACCUGGAUCUCCAGAGGAAUGUAGUGAUGGGAACAAAGAACAAAAACAAGUGAACCCAACUGAAAGAAAAGAGGAUUUCAUGGAAAAUAGUGGAGAUUGUGAGGAAAAUGGAAACGAUGGACCUGAGGAAGGAGAACAAGAGAAAAACGAUGCUGAAAGACAAGACGAUUCAAAGGAAAACAGUGGAGAUUGUGAGGAAAAUGGAAACAAUGGAUCUAAAGAAGGAGAACAAGACAAAAACGAUGAUGAAAGACAAGAAGAUUCAAAGGAGAAUAGUGGAGAUUGCGAGGAAAAUGCAGAAGAUGGAUCUAAAGAAGGAGCCAAAAGACAAGAUUUAGAGAAAAACAGUGAAGAAGGAGAUGAAGAACCGAAAAGACAAGAAGUUUUGAUGGAGAUUAACAGAGAAUCGGAGAAGGUAGAUGAGGAACAUACAAAAGACCGAAACGAAGCUGAAAGACGAGAAGAUUUAGAGAAAACAAAUGGAGAAUUUGAGGAGAAUGCAAAAGAGGGAGAAAUACACAGAAACGAAGCUGAAACACAGAAAGAUUUAGAGGAAAGCAGUGAAGGAUACUCUGAGGAGGACGUGAACCCAAAAACAGAAAGUCUUUCUCCUGAAGGUGGAGACGAGCCGGAAGAGUCCACACCCAUGCAGCGACCAAAUGAGAUUGAACUCCAACAAACAGAAAACAAAGAGACUGAAGAGGAGACGUCCGAUCAGAUCUCAGCAGCGCCUGCCAAACGCUCUCCGCGUAAACCUGCCAAUCCCACCAAAGCGGUUCCCGUAGUCCCUCCCAAACCUCAGACGUCCAAACUCACGGCGUUCUCGCUCAGAAAACAGCUCCAGCACAGACAACACGACGAUAAAGAGGCGCAUGGCGAGACCACCGACCAAGAACACGGAACCGAAACUAAAACGCCGCAGAGAGAAAGCGCAGAGAACUGUAAGACACACCCGAGGUUGGACUCCGAGGGUCCCGGAGAGAGACGGGAAGCAUGGGACGGAGGAGCGGAUCAAAGGAGAGACGCAGACAAAGAGGCCAAGAGGAACAGCGGCAUCAGUAUGUGCUUCGAUCAAGCUGUGGCUCGAGCCACGGAGAAGAGGAGCCGAGAGAGAGGGAGCACAGAGAGACUGUCCGGAGCGCACUGGGACAGAGAGAGCCGGAAAGACGGGAAAACUGACUCACUUGAUAUCUAA
ensembl:lncRNA